rnacentral:lncRNA from 1 species
CAUGAUGUCCAUAUCCACUCUUUCUCGUAGAAUCGAACCUCCUUCUUGACAUAUGUUGCUGCUCGGCAGAGAACAUCCUCGCCAAGAUAAACACGGUAUGCAAGUUCAACAAGUAUGGAUUUGAAAAACCAUAUUGAAUUUGAUAAGAUAAACCGUCUAGACAAGAUAGCAUCGUUCUUAACCCACUGCAAGAAUACAUACUAUAUAUGACACAUCAAUCUCCC